AUGAACGCUAGCGGCAGGCUUAACACAUGCAAGUCGAGGGGCAGCAUAAUGGAUAGCAAUAUCUAUGGUGGCGACCGGCGCACGGGUGCGUAACGCGUAUGCAACCUACCUUUAACAGGGGGAUAACACUGAGAAAUUGGUACUAAUACCCCAUAAUAUCAUAGAAGGCAUCUUUUAUGGUUGAAAAUUCCGAUGGUUAGAGAUGGGCAUGCGUUGUAUUAGCUAGUUGGUGGGGUAACGGCUCACCAAGGCGACGAUACAUAGGGGGACUGAGAGGUUAACCCCCCACACUGGUACUGAGACACGGACCAGACUCCUACGGGAGGCAGCAGUGAGGAAUAUUGGUCAAUGGACGCAAGUCUGAACCAGCCAUGCCGCGUGCAGGAUGACGGCUCUAUGAGUUGUAAACUGCUUUUGUACGAGGGUAAACGCAGAUACGUGUAUCUGUCUGAAAGUAUCGUACGAAUAAGGAUCGGCUAACUCCGUGCCAGCAGCCGCGGUAAUACGGAGGAUUCAAGCGUUAUCCGGAUUUAUUGGGUUUAAAGGGUGCGUAGGCGGUUUGAUAAGUUAGAGGUGAAAUUUCGGGGCUCAACCCUGAACGUGCCUCUAAUACUGUUGAGCUAGAGAGUAGUUGCGGUAGGCGGAAUGUAUGGUGUAGCGGUGAAAUGCUUAGAGAUCAUACAGAACACCGAUUGCGAAGGCAGCUUACCAAACUAUAUCUGACGUUGAGGCACGAAAGCGUGGGGAGCAAACAGGAUUAGAUACCCUGGUAGUCCACGCAGUAAACGAUGAUAACUCGUUGUCGGCGAUACACAGUCGGUGACUAAGCGAAAGCGAUAAGUUAUCCACCUGGGGAGUACGUUCGCAAGAAUGAAACUCAAAGGAAUUGACGGGGGCCCGCACAAGCGGUGGAGCAUGUGGUUUAAUUCGAAGCAACGCGAAGAACCUUACCUGAUCUUGACAUCCUGAUGACCGCUCCGUAAUGGGAGUUUUUCUUCGGAACAUCAGAGACAGGUGGUGCAUGGUUGUCGUCAGCUCGUGUCGUGAGAUGUUGGGUUAAGUCCCGCAACGAGCGCAACCCUUAUUGCCAGUUACUACGUUAAGAGGACUCUGGCGAGACUGCCGUUGACAAAACGGAGGAAGGUGGGGAUGACGUCAAAUCAGCACGGCCCUUACGUCCGGGGCUACACACGUGUUACAAUGGUAGGUACAGAGGGCAGCUACCCAGCGAUGGGAUGCGAAUCUCGAAAGCCUAUCUCAGUUCGGAUUGGAGGCUGAAACCCGCCUCCAUGAAGUUGGAUUCGCUAGUAAUCGCGCAUCAGCCAUGGCGCGGUGAAUACGUUCCCGGGCCUUGUACACACCGCCCGUCAAGCCAUGGGAGCCGGGGGUGCCUGAAGUUCGUGACCGCAAGGAGCGACCUAGGGCAAAACUGGUGACUGGGGCU
rnacentral:rRNA from 1 species